GAUGAACGCUGGCGGCGUGCUUAACACAUGCAAGUCGAACGGAGUUUAACAGGUGCUUGCACCGAUUAAACUUAGUGGCGGACGGGUGAGUAACGCGUGGGUAACCUGCCUCGUACUGGGGGAUAACAGUUGGAAACAGCUGCUAAUACCGCAUAAGCUCACAGAGCCACAUGGCUCAGAGAGAAAAACUCCGGUGGUACGAGAUGGACCCGCGUCUGAUUAGCUAGUUGGUGAGGUAACGGCUCACCAAGGCGACGAUCAGUAGCCGGCCUGAGAGGGUGAACGGCCACAUUGGGACUGAGACACGGCCCAAACUCCUACGGGAGGCAGCAGUGGGGAAUAUUGCACAAUGGGGGAAACCCUGAUGCAGCGACGCCGCGUGAGUGAAGAAGUAUUUCGGUAUGUAAAGCUCUAUCAGCAGGGAAGAUAAUGACGGUACCUGACUAAGAAGCACCGGCUAAAUACGUGCCAGCCGCCGCCGUAACAC
rnacentral:rRNA from 1 species